AAUCAACGCUGGCGGCGUGCCUAACACAUGCAAGUCGAACGCGAAAGUCCCGCAAGGGGCAAGUAGAGUGGCAAACGGGUGAGUAACGCGUGGGCGACCUACCUUCGAGUGGGGGAUAACCUUCCGAAAGGAGGGCUAAUACCGCAUGACAUCCCGUGUUUGGAUACACGGACAUCAAAGCCGGGGAUCGCAAGACCUGGCGCUUGGAGAGGGGCCCGCGUCCGAUUAGCUAGUUGGUGGGGUAACGGCUCACCAAGGCUCCGAUCGGUAUCCGGCCUGAGAGGGCGGACGGACACACUGGGACUGAGACACGGCCCAGACUCCUACGGGAGGCAGCAGUGGGGAAUUGUUCGCAAUGGGCGCAAGCCUGACGACGCAACGCCGCGUGGAGGAUGAAGACC
rnacentral:rRNA from 1 species